rnacentral:rRNA from 1 species
UCAGAUUGAACGCUGGCGGCAGGCUUAACACAUGCAAGUCGAGCGGUAACAGGGGAGCUUGCUCCUGCUGACGAGCGGCGGACGGGUGAGUAACGCGUAGGAAUCUGCCUAGUAGAGGGGGACAACAUGUGGAAACGCAUGCUAAUACCGCAUACGCCCUAAGGGGGAAAGGAGGGGACUCUUCGGAGCCUUCCGCUAUUAGAUGAGCCUGCGUGAGAUUAGCUAGUUGGUAGGGUAAAGGCCUACCAAGGCGACGAUCUCUAACUGGUCUGAGAGGAUGACCAGUCACACUGGGACUGAGACACGGCCCAGACUCCUACGGGAGGCAGCAGUGGGGAAUAUUGGACAAUGGGCGCAAGCCUGAUCCAGCCAUGCCGCGUGUGUGAAGAAGGCCUUAGGGUUGUAAAGCACUUUCAGGGGUGAGGAAGGGUAAUGGAUUAAUACUUCAUUACUUUGACGUUAGCCCCAGAAGAAG